GACGAAGGAUGCAAGCGUUAUCCGGAUUCAUUGGGUUUAAAGGGUGCGUAGGCGGCCCGGUAAGUCAGUGGUGAAAGCCUGUUGCUUAACAACAGAACUGCCAUUGAUACUGCUGGGCUUGAGUACAGAUGCUGUGGGCGGAAUAUGACAUGUAGUGGUGAAAUACAUAGAGAUGUCAUAGAACACCGAUUGCGAAGGCAGCUCACAAAACUGUAACUGACGCUGAGGCACGAAAGUGCGGGGAU
rnacentral:rRNA from 2 species